GCAGGCAUGGCCGAGUGGUCUAUGGCGAUGGUUUUAAGUCCUCUGUUUAUCACCAUUAUCGAGAGAUGCGUGGGUUCGAAUCCCGCUGCCUGUA